CUGAGGUCUAAUCUGAUGAUGGGGACAGGACCAGUGACCCAGUGCCCAGACAAAUCUCUGCUGGGACAGGAAGCUCCUUUUCUUCAACCAGCAUCAGAGACACAAAAGGGGAACUCGAAUGCUCCACCACCAAGUGUUCCAGUCACGGCUUAGGGUCCUGCCCUGCAAGCAGAAGUGAAAAUAAAGAAAAGCAGCACUGUGUACAACCCAGCCAGACACAGGGAUCUCAAGAAGAC